rnacentral:rRNA from 1 species
UACGUAGGGUGCGAGCGUUGUCCGGAAUUACUGGGCGUAAAGAGCUCGUAGGCGGUUUGUCGCGUCUGCCGUGAAAGUCCGGGGCUCAACUCCGGAUCUGCGGUGGGUACGGGGCAGACUAGAGUGAUGUAGGGGAGACUGGAAUUCCUGGGUGUAGCGGUGAAAUGCGCAGAUAUCAGGAGGAACACCGAUGGCGAAAGGGCAGGGUCUCCUGGGCAUUAACUGACGCUGAGGAGCGAAAAGCAUGGGGAGCGAACAGG